rnacentral:rRNA from 1 species
UACAGAGGUCCCAAGCGUUGUUCGGAUUUACUGGGCGUAAAGGGUGCGUAGGUGGCGAGGUAAGUUCGAUGUGAAAUCUCCGAGCUCAACUCGGAAAUGGCAUUGAAUACUAUCCCGCUUGAGGGUCGGAGGGGAGACUGGAAUUCUCGGUGUAGCAGUGAAAUGCGUAGAUAUCGAGAGGAACACCAGUGGCGAAGGCGAGUCUCUGGACGACUCCUGACACUGAGGCACGAAAGCGUGGGGAGCAAACAGGG